rnacentral:rRNA from 1 species
CCUACGGGAGGCAGCAGUGAGGAAUAUUGGUCAAUGGACGAGAGUCUGAACCAGCCAAGUAGCGUGAAGGAUGACUGCCCUAUGGGUUGUAAACUUCUUUUAUAUGGGAAUAAAACGUUCCACGUGUGGGAUUUUGUAUGUACCAUAUGAAUAAGGAUCGGCUAACUCCGUGCCAGCAGCCGCGGUAAUACGGAGGAUCCGAGCGUUAUCCGGAUUUAUUGGGUUUAAAGGGAGCGUAGGUGGAUUGUUAAGUCAGUUGUGAAAGUUUGCGGCUUAACCGUAAAAUUGCAGUUGAAACUGGCAGUCUUGAGUACAGUAGAGGUGGGCGGAAUUCGUGGUGUAGCGGUGAAAUGCUUAGAUAUCACGAAGAACUCCGAUUGCGAAGGCAGUUCACUGGACUGCAACUGACACUGAGGCUCGAAAGUGAGGGUAUCAAACAGGAUUAGAUACCCCAGUAGUC